rnacentral:tRNA from 1 species
GGCUGGGUAGCUCAGUGGAUUGAGAGUUAAACAUAGAGGUGGAAGGUCGUGGGUUCGAAUCCGGCCUCAGCCA